rnacentral:rRNA from 1 species
AUUGAACGCUGGCGGCGUGCCUAACACAUGCAAGUCGAGCGGCAGCGCGGGAGCAAUCCUGGCGGCGAGCGGCGGACGGGUGAGUAACGCUUGGGAAUCUGCCUGUUAGUGGGGGACAACCCGGGGAAACUCGGGCUAAUACCGCAUACGCACUACGGUGGAAAGCCGGGGACCGCAAGGCCUGGCGCUAACAGAUGAGCCCAAGUCGGAUUAGCUAGUUGGUAGGGUAACGGCCUACCAAGGCGACGAUCCGUAACUGGUCUGAGAGGACGACCAGUCACACCGGAACUGAGACACGGUCCGGACUCCUACGGGAGGCAGCAGUGGGGAAUAUUGGACAAUGGGGGAAACCCUGAUCCAGCGACGCCGCGUGGGUGAAGAAGGCCUGCGGGUUGUAAAGCCCUUUCAGUGGGGAAGAAAAGCCUCGACCUAACACGUCGGGGUCUUGACUAACCCAUAGAAGAAGCACCGGCUAACUCUGUGCC